CAAUUUUGCAUCGCUGGUAGGAAAGCAAAAUAACAUUUAUCAACUCUCAAAUGUUCAUUAAAAUAUAAGGUAGUGGACUUAUUUAUCUUAUCAUGCUGUCAUUUUUAAAGCAUUGCUAGUCCUACAAAUACAGAUUGUUUAGCCAAAAGUGAGCAGCACACCUGCUAGAAUUAGAUAAUUAAUGAAAGCUAAUAAUUGAACAAAUGAAAGAUUUUCAAUAUUUUUUCGACCAUUGAAGGGGAGGACAAGACAGAAAGACAUUGAAACCAAGCUCUAAUGAUGCCAUCCUGCCACCUACUGGACUAGAGGGUAUUAAAACAACUACAGCAUCCCUGACCUGCUCCUAACUAAAUGGAAGACGUGGAAGAAGAAGGAAACAACAAGCUUCAUUAACCCUAACCCAAACCUAACCUAUCUCAUAACCCUGGAGGGUUGCUCUGGCACCACAGACGGUCUGUUGACCAGCCCUCUCCAUCCUUCUCUGUCCUCAGCAGCUCUCAUUGCCUCAGUGAGUUUCAAGAUGGUUUUUGCAAGUCCUGAGGAUCUGGUGAUGUGCCCAUACCACACCAGUUCCCGCUUUAUGACCAUGGUGAGCAGGUCAUCAUGUGGGCCGACGGCUUGGCUGACCUUUAGCCGGACUUCUUCGUUUGUGACAUGUUGGGUG